AAAAAAAAAAACAAAAAAAGAGAAAGAGAAUAGGCCUCUUUCCCUAAGCAUCAGAGAGAGGGAGAGAGAGACUGAGGCUAGUCCAACAUAAGCACUUGGUUUAAACAUGUUUCCUCAUCUCCUUGAUCAAUAAUUGCAUACACUUUCUCUUUCUCUCUCCCCCCCAUCAUUUCCUUCUGACAUACACUUCCAUGCUCUUCUAUAUAAUGUUUUGAGUAAUCAACAACUUGCCCUCAAACCUUAUUUUCAUUUUUCAGAUUGAUUACAUGAUGAGUUCUUCAAUCUUCCUUCUAUGCUGUCUUCUCAUAUUCUCUUUAUAUUCCCUCUCCCAACACACGGGCUACUCUCUAGAUGCUACUCCAACACGGAAGUUGAGCAUGCCAGCCCCUGUCCACGAUCACAAAACCCAGCAUAAAAUGCAGGGAGCAGACAAGGCAAUGGAAAGUACCCCAGCAAACGAAGAUUCCAUGACACCAGAUUAUACCAGCAACAGUUACAGUCCCCAUGAUCUUGUCUUUCAUAUAGAUUACCAUGGAGUAACAACUCAUCCAACUCCUAAACAUCCCAAACCAUAGGCUGCAACUUAAGUUUUGCAUCGCAAGAUAUUUAUCCAGAUAUGUAUUCUUGUUUUUAUCAAUAUAUAAAUGAAAUGCGUUGUGGGAGAAA